rnacentral:rRNA from 1 species
GACGUAGGGCGCGAGCGUUGUCCGGAUUUAUUGGGCGUAAAGGGCUAGUAGGCGGCUUAGCAAGUCGGGUGUGAAAUUUCCAGGCUUAACCUGGAACCGCCAUCCGAUACUGCUAUGGCUAGAGUCCGGUAGGGGACCACGGAAUACCUGGUGUAGCGGUGAAAUGCGCAGAUAUCAGGUGGAACACCGAUGGCGAAGGCAGUGGUCUGGGCCGGCACUGACGCUGAAUAGCGAAAGCGUGGGUAGCGAACAGG